AUUGAACGCUGGCGGCAGGCCUAACACAUGCAAGUCGAACGAGUGGCGGACGGGUGUGUAAUGUCUGGGAAACUGCCCGAUGGAGGGGGAUAACUACUGGAAACGGUAGCUAAUACCGCAUACCAUCGGAUGUGCCCAGAUGGGUUGAGCUAGGAGGUGGGGUAAUGGCUCACCUAGGCGACGAUCCCUAGCUGGUCUGAGAGGAUGACCAGCCACACUGGAACUGAGACACGUCCCAGACGCCUACGGGAGGAAGCAGUGGGGAAUAUUGCACAAUGGGCGAAAGCCUGAUGCAGCCAUGCCGCGUGUGUGAAGAAGGCCUUCGGGUUGUAAAGUACUGUCAGCGGGGAGGCGGUACUCGCAGAAGAAGCACCGGCUAACUCCGUGCCAGCAGCCGCGGUAAUUC
rnacentral:rRNA from 1 species